CGAGAGAAUACAGCCUACUCAUUUCAUAACUUAAAUAGACUGGAAUGGUAAUCAAUUUUACAUACAAGAAAUUUGCUAAGUCAAUAUUUUGUCAAGCCUGUCUUCUUUCGCAUGAGACUAAGUGUGAAACCUGCUGAGGCAUAUGUAAGUCACCCACAUAUGAAGGAUUUGAGCAGAAGUGACACUCCAGAGAAUACCGCCUUACACGCUUCGCUGGAGAGAGAGGGAGCAGGCACCGAGGAGAGAAAGAUGCUACCCAACGGAUGAACAUCUCACCUGAAAGAUGCUUUGUAUUGGCGCUGGCGGACUUUGACCACUACAACACGAGGACCAUCUUUCUGAGUUGAGGAGAACGGGUUGUGGCCUACAGAAGCUUCAC
ensembl:lncRNA